rnacentral:rRNA from 1 species
UACGUAGGGUGCAAGCGUUGUCCGGAGUUAUUGGGCGUAAAGAGCUCGUAGGUGGUUUGUCGCGUUGUCCGUGAAAACUCACAGCUCAACUGUGGGCGUGCGGGCGAUACGGGCAGACUGGAGUACUGCAGGGGAGACUGGAAUUCCUGGUGUAGCGGUGGAAUGCGCAGAUAUCAGGAGGAACACCGGUGGCGAAGGCGGGUCUCUGGGCAGUAACUGACGCUGAGGAGCGAAAGCGUGGGGAGCGAACAGG